CUUGGACGUUGAAUAUGUGAAGAUAUCAGCGCUAUCGAUCAAUCAUCUAGGACUUUAUCUGUUUGUCUGAAUUUUCUAUAUAUAAACAUAAUUACAGUAAUCAGCUCAGUCAUCAGCUAACCUUGGGACCAUGAAUAUUCUUCUUCACCCAUAUAUUUAUUAUUUAGACAGAUAAUUAUAAUAAAAUGUAGUGGCAAUUGGUACCUGCCUACAAGUAGGUUUUAAGAGACCAAGUAAAUUAAAGUGAAAAAAGAAGAUCAUCUACUUGCAUCAGUGGGCCUCAAGCUGUUUCUUUGAAUCAAAAGUUACAGCCUAUUCUAGUCAUCUACCCAUACACCAGUUUCUAGAAGAAAUC
rnacentral:lncRNA from 1 species